GACGAACGCUGGCGGCGUGCCUAAUACAUGCAAGUCGAGCGAGCGGAACUAACAGAUUUACUUCGGUAAUGACGUUAGGAAAGCGAGCGGCGGAUGGGUGAGUAACACGUGGGGAACCUGCCCCAUAGUCUGGGAUACCACUUGGAAACAGGUGCUAAUACCGGAUAAGAAAGCAGAUCGCAUGAUCAGCUUUUAAAAGGCGGCGUAAGCUGUCGCUAUGGGAUGGCCCCGCGGUGCAUUAGCUAGUUGGUAAGGUAAAGGCUUACGAAGGCGAUGAUGCAUAGCCGAGUUGAGAGACUGAUCGGCCACAUUGGGACUGAGACACGGCCCAAACUCCUACGGGAGGCAGCAGUAGGGAAUCUUCCACAAUGGACGCAAGUCUGAUGGAGCAACGCCGCGUGAGUGAAGAAGGUUUUCGGAUCGUAAAGCUCUGUUGUUGGUGAAGAAGGAUAGAGGUAGUAACUGGCCUUUAUUUGACGGUAAUCAACCAGAAAGUCACGGCUAACUACGUG
rnacentral:rRNA from 1 species